CUUGGUCAUUUAGAGGAAGUAAAAGUCGUAACAAGGUUUCCGUAGGUGAACCUGCGGAAGGAUCAUUAAAAAAAAGAGAAACGUCCCGUUUUUUUCAUAAGAAUGGGUUCUAUUCCCUUAAACCGUGUCUACAUACCUUUGUUGCUUUGGCAGGCCGCCUUCGGGCGUCGGCUCCGGCUGAUAGUGCCUGCCAGAGGACCCAAACUCUAUGUUUAGUGAUGUCUGAGUACUAUAUAAUAUUUAAAACUUUCAACAACGGAUCUCUUGGUUCUGGCAUCGAUGAAGAACGCAGCGAAAUGCGAUAAGUAAUGUGAAUUGCAGAAUUCAGUGAAUCAUCGAAUCUUUGAACGCACAUUGCGCCCCUUGGUAUUCCGAGGGGCAUGCCUGUUCGAGCGUCAUUAUAACCACUCAAGCCUGGCUUGGUAUUGGGGUUUUCGCGUGUUCGCGGCCCUUAAAAUCAGUGGCGGUGCCGUCUGGCUCUAAGCGUAGUAAUUUCUCUCGCUAUAGGGUUCCGGUGGUUACUUGCCAAAACCCCCCAUUUUUUCUAGGUUGACCUCGGAUCAGGUAGGGAUACCCGCUGAACUUAAGCAUAUCAAUAAGCGGAGGA
rnacentral:rRNA from 1 species